rnacentral:rRNA from 1 species
GAUGAACGCUGGCGGCGUGCCUAAUACAUGCAAGUCGAGCGAACAGACGAGGAGCUUGCUCCUCUGACGUUAGCGGCGGACGGGUGAGUAACACGUGGAUAACCUACCUAUAAGACUGGGAUAACUUCGGGAAACCGGAGCUAAUACCGGAUAAUAUAUUGAACCGCAUGGUUCAAUAGUGAAAGACGGUUUUGCUGUCACUUAUAGAUGGAUCCGCGCCGCAUUAGCUAGUUGGUAAGGUAACGGCUUACCAAGGCAACGAUGCGUAGCCGACCUGAGAGGGUGAUCGGCCACACUGGAACUGAGACACGGUCCAGACUCUUACGGGAGGCAGCAGUAGGGAAUCUUCCGCAAUUGGCGAAAGCCUGACGGAGCAACGCCGCGUGAGUGAUGAAGGUCUUCGGAUCGUAAAACUCUGUUAUUAGGGAAGAACAAAUGUGUAAGUAACUAUGCACGUCUUGACGGUACCUAAUCAGAAAGCCACGGCUAACUACGUG